AUAACAUUUGGCCAGAUUUUGAAAGAGGCGGAGUUGUUGCCCCACAUGGAAGAGACGCAGAAAUGGAUCCCUGCCAGGAGAGCAGACCCAGAAGGAACAGAGAGGGCUGAGCGAGCAUGGCAUGUCCGGGAAGAGCAGGAGACGGCGACCUAUGAUGAAAAGGCUGCUUUGCCCAAGCCCACUGCUCUCCAAGGCGGCGUCCUUGUGCCGCUGAGAGGAGACAGCUGUCUAGAGAGAGUGCUCACUUAGAGAUGAAUCAGCUUGAAUGUGAACUGCCUGGACCGAGAGAAUGCUGAAUCAAAAGGUUCCACUUGAAUCUCAUCUGAAGGUGUGGAAGGCUGGCAAGCAUGGGAAAAGCACAGUUAACGACUAUCCAAUAGAACUCAUGGUCCAGAGCAUCAGUGAAACUCCCUGAAGCAUACCACUUCCAACCAGGAAAAGUCCCCAGAUCGCCGAAGCUGAAUUCUUAGAAUUUUGGCUUAUAAUACGUCAACCACUUUUUCCCAUUUUACUUGCAAUAUGGUAUUUUAACUUAUAAAGCAUGUUAUCAGUUCUUCUUUGAGGCGACAUAACAAAACUUGCCAUAACUAAAUUAGCUCUAUUUGUGUUAGUUCCCUUUUCCUUUGCAAAGUUCUCUCACGGAGCAAUAGGCAUCAGGUCAAGGAA